CCGCCCCCAGACACACCACAGUAUCUCUCUGAGACUAUUAAACUUCCAUUUGAAGGGAAUUAACUAAAACAAACCUAUAUUCCAUUGACUCCAUUUUAACGUAUCUGCCAUGGGUGAAGCAAAUGUCUAUCUGCGAUGGGAAGACGCUUCAACUAAACACAGAGAUCUCCAGCUACUGUGGGAAACUAAAGGCAACACUACCUGGGCUUCUGGCUACUUCUAACAUUCUUUAGCACGCAAAAUGUGCACCACGUGAAGUGCGUUUUGCUUUAUUUUGCUUUGUCUUUAAGGCAUACCUUAAGCAUUUUCCCAUACUGAAUUUAAUCCAGAGUUAAGUCUUUCCCUUCUAGGCCAUCAUUCAUAAGACGUAAAAUGCCCUGUGUAGGUGGAACAGGUCAGAAGACUGAAUACUGAAGCUGUGUGUGGAGUUGCCGUGGCAACAACCCAGAAUGGAAGGACAGAGACUCUAGAACCCACUGACGUUGCUCUAGAAUAAAAUCGUUCUGUGGCUCGCCUUCCUGAACAGCUGCAAGCUCUGUGGCUACGGAGUGUGUGUUCUGAUUUCAUUACGUUCAGGGAGUCAGCUGACAAAUUAAGAGCUAAAAUUGCAGUUAAGUGAAGGAGAUCGUGGGUUUUCUGCCAGUUCUUUCCUCGGGACAGCCUCUCUCCAGCCAUCUUCUACAUUCCUGGUCUCCUAAUCCUCCCUUCUUCCACUUGAAUGUUCUCUUCCCGAUGCCUUUAUAUCCAGUGAAGUGGUAAAGUGACUCUUAAAGAAUUUGUACUGAAAGUAUGUAAAUCAGGGAGGAAACACUUAAAAAGCAGCACCUGUUUUUGCGGGUCACGGCCAUGGACUAAUUGUCUGUAGCUAUUUUCACACUCCAGUGGGAAAGCUGGAGGUGAGACAGACUCUGGAUCUCUCUCUCUACUUCCUAAGUCUUUGCAGAAAUUUCCUGACCACUUUUUAGUGCAUCUGAUACAUUUAACCCUUUUCUCCCCUCCUCCCUGGCGUCACGGUGCUGGGAUGCAGUCCAUAGGCUUGCAAUUGGUAGGCAGGUGCCUCACAAACACUAAACUGCACCCUCAGACCUGUCUGUUCCCUUCGAACUGAUAAAACACUGAUAUUCUGCAGAACUCACCACAGACUAGACAGGGUACAAAGCAUCGCUCUGUGUCAUCUCAAUUAAAACUUAAAACAACACGGCACACACUAUUAACCACAUUUUAAUUAACAUAGUUUUAUUUGUUAUUGAAUGUUUGUCUGGGGGUGGGGUGUCCAUACCAUGAAGUCAUGGCAUGUAGGUAGAGGUCACAGGACAACCUCUGGGAGUUGGUUGUCUCUUUCCACCUUGGGUCCCAGGGGUUGGACACGGGUUGUCAGGCUUGUGUGGCAAAGGCCUUUACCCUCUGAGCCAUCAUACUGACCUUUACCUACACUGUAAGAAAAGCAUUCAGGUUUGGGAAACUGAUGUCAUGUAUGUAGUUAAAGCUGAACCAGGAUGCAUGCUUGUGUCAGAUGGAUGAAAGCAGACGUCCCCACUGCUGCUCCUGAAAGCUUACUCUUCCUUGGUUCCCCAGUCCUCUGCUGGUCUGCUCUGGGCUGGGGUAGUUCUGCUCUGUUCUCUCACCUGAACACACACUUGUUCCAACAGUUCUCAGGUCCUUUGCUGGCUUGCUCGAGUUCGCUUCCACCCACUCCAGUAACACUGGCUCCAGAAGGCUAUGCAUGCUACUCUUUUCUCUGCCCACACUGCACAGGUGCUUUAGCAACAACACCCAUUCCUCCAGGAUCUGGGCUUUGCAAACAUACUGCAAUGGGGUCAACAAUGGCAGAACUUCUCUGCUCUGCACCAGUCUCCUUUCACAGCUGCAGACAGUGAGCACUGGCUCUCCUGGGCAACGCCUUCAGUCUCUUAGCAAGUCCUUGUCCUUGCCACGUAGGUCAAGGAAGCACCUAAUUACACCAACGCUACGCCCUUAAAAUGUUUUGUGUGGUCCUUCACCUUUGGGGGGUUCUGGCUAAAAUGCCCGAGAGCGUUCCUCUUCAACAUCCUACUUCAUCUUAAAGAAAACUGGUUGAAGUUACAGGACUGUUUUGUUCUCAGUUGUGUCUCUAGAGUUUAGACAGUGCCUGGCAUGGAGUAGACACAGUCAGUGAAUAUGAGGGACUUCACCAAGUUCAGUUUCUCUCUCCUAGCCCUUCUCUCUCUUUCUCUUUCUUUUUCCCUUCCCCCAUCAUGAAAGAGAUUUAUUUACAAACCAAAAAUGUAUGGCAAUAUGCUCAAUAUAAUGAAGGUUCAGGGGAAUACAAAUCAGAAAAUUAUUUGUUAACAUUUCAUCUUCAUAAAUUUGACUGAAGUUUAAAAUCCGACGCUAUAAGUGUUAAUACAGGACAAUGAGCCUUCUCAUAGAUACAGGUUUGUGAACUGGGGGUAUUUUAAACAUUUAUUAGUAUACAUAUAACCGAUACAUGUGGCCUCUAAGUCAGCACUUCAAACACAUGCUUUAAAACCCCACACGUGUCUAAGGAAUUCUAAGGGUAGUCACCGAGGCAUUAUUUAUAGGAGCACACAAAUGAUGCUCCAAAUAUUCACCAACAAGAGAGAGCAAUACUGUACCAAUGGGAUGCAGGACCACAUUUCAAAAGAACUCGUUUACAUAUAUCAACACGAGACAGCCUCAAAACAGAAAAAAAAAUGAAUAAACGGCUACAAAAAAAAAACCCCAAUGCAUCACAAAAUGUUACUUCUGUAAUUUUUAGGAACAAAAUCCCAGUUAUUCCAUGUAUAUAGGAACACAAGCACCCAGAGGAGACAGGGGAACUGUCAAGGCCUGCACGCAGAUGAAGGCAAGGGGCACCUCCUAAAGAAAAGAUCUCAAUUCCAACGUCACAUUGUUAGUAGAGCUGAAAAAAAUCAUUUUCCAACUAUAACAACUUUGAGGGAUACAAAAUCAUCAUUAUAGUCAGCGUCUGUUUGCCUAGAAGCCUAGACAUGAAUUUCAACACCAAACUGACCUGACAGAAGUCAAUAAACUUAAGAUAGAAAUGCCAAAACCAACAACAAACACCCCACCCUACAAAGGCAAGGUCUGCAUUUCAUCUCACAGAGAUCAAAGUUAAAGGAUUCUCCAGUAAACUGAUGCAAGCCGAAAGAAAUAAUCCCUGUAGGGACUCCUGGAUCACAGUUGGAAGUAACUUCUAGACUAUGAAAGAAGAAAAAAGAAAAGAGAACAAGCAAACAGAAAUGAAAACUAAGAUAUCUGGGAAAAAGGCUUUAUGAAGUAAAAUUGACAGUAAUGAUAACACCACAGGAGGACAAAGAGUAGUGCACGGGAAGACACAGCAGUAAAAGUCACCCCCGGAUGCAGCACGAUGGGGAGACGCUAACGCUAACGACCAGGACAGUAGACAUCAAGAACAUCCAAGAUGGACAGGAGCGUAGAAUGGAAGAAGGGGGAGCAAACGAGUCCUAAAUUAAAGAGAAGCCAACGAAGUCAAACAGUGAGAAACCAGAGUGGACUAGUAUUCUGUUGAUAAGGAUGGAGGGUGGAGUGGGGAAGAGAGCCAGAAGGAGGAGGGAGGAGUGGGAAUAGGGAGGAAGGAGAAGGCUUAUCACGGCUUAUGAUGAAGGAGCCAUUUAAACAAGAAAAAUGAAGUAGUGGUGUCUUUAACAUGCUGGGAGGGGUGUUGGGGAUGGGGAACCUAUCAGCUGAAAUUUGUAUACCCAGUGAAUAUCUUGUUGGGGGGCACGCAAAGAGAACAAGGUUGGCGCGAGCCUGAGGCAGGAGCAGAGGCGCGGUGCCCGCCUCCGGUGGUCGCCUGGGCUCGGGGGUCAGGAAGCCACCUCUCCAGGGCGCAGGCUCCUCUAGGAUGGUGCCAGGAGUGCCCGCAGCCCCAGGUCACCAGGCGGCAGGCCGCGACCCGGAAGUGGAGCAGCCGCCGGAAGUGCCGCCGCCUUCUUCCACACGCCCCACCGCCCGUCGGACCCGGGCUGCCGAGCCCAGCCCGCCCAGAGAUGUGAAUCUAGAAAAAGAUGAAAACUGAAGCCUACGAGUGCAACAAUUUCAGAAGAAGUUCUGUCCCAUAAAGCCACAGUUCUCGUGUAUUCCAACCCAAUACAAUUUUAGUUUGUUUGUUUAGAACAGGAGAUAUAAAUUAUGAAAAUUAUGCCUCAAGUGAUGGUCAUUUUCCGAAAUAAGCCCAUACGAUCCUUUACAAUCUAUGCGGUAACGUGCAUCCUGGCUUGGGGUUGUAUUCCAGCUGAGUACUGAUGUCAGGGAGCACUCAUCUGUGUGUUUUGGCAUUGGCAGUCCUUCCCCUGCCAGCUAUGUAGCAGUCGAUUACUCUCCAGUGACCAAGGUUAAGAGAUAUGCACUCUGCCUUUGUGGUAUCUCCUUACCAGCUAGUGCAGACCUAAGUCUUCCUUGUACCGGCCACAGGUUCUGCCAGAAUUCGAGCAAAGAAACUCAUUGUGCCAGGUGGUGCUUUGACUUUCUCACAUUCGGGAAAGCAGCCUCAGUCCUCCUCAAAAAUAAAAAGGAAGCUGGUUCGCAUAGGAAUGUCGUCACAGUUACCCCUUCACUUGUAAGCUUCGAGAACCUUUAUACACAGUGGAUAGCCAGCCAGUCACUCCUAGAGCAGGAAGUGUAAGUCCUGGAGCAGGAAGAGAAUUUGGAUAUUUACAUUUAGAAACACAGUGAGUC
rnacentral:lncRNA from 1 species